CAGCAGCCACGGGAAUACGAAGGGGGCUAGCGUUGCUCGGAAUGACUGGGCGUAAAGGGCGCGUAGGCGGCGGCCAAAGUCAGGCGUGAAAUUCCCGGGCUCAACCUGGGGGCUGCGUUUGAUACUUGGUUGCUUGAGUGGGGAAGAGGGUCGUGGAAUUCCCAGUGUAGAGGUGAAAUUCGUAGAUAUUCGGAAGAACACCAGUGGCGUAGGCGGCUCACUGGACGCGUAUUGACGCUGAGGUGCGAAAGCGUGGGGAGCAAACAGGAUUAGAUACCCGCGUAGUCCCUGUCUCUUAUAC
rnacentral:rRNA from 1 species